GCGUGGUCCGCCUUGAAAAGCAACGCUUCAGCAUCCUCAGCUUCUUUUAGUAUCCGCCAUCAAACUUAUAUUUCUCAAAUUGGCCAGCGCCUUUUGGACUUACCCCAACAAUUGGAGCCGUUAAUUUUGAAAAAAAAUGAGCCUGAAAGUUUUUGUAUGUUUCUGGCGCUUUCUAAAGGCGUAACCCCAAAUGUUGAACAAGCGUCAACAGCUUUCACACACCAAGUGGCCAACGAUGAAGGAUUUUACGCCAGCACGUGGCUUGAGGCGGUUGUAUCAAAAAUGAAGGAUUUAUAUGUUCAGUCUAUUCUAGCAAUUCCCCAACUUACUGAUUUGGGCGCCAAUCAGCUUUGUGUAGACAUUGAAUAUUUGUUAAACAUUUUGUCUAUUAUGGAUAUGGAAAGCCCGCCUGAACUUCUUUAUAUACUUCAAUACUGCAAGCAUACUAAAGAAGAAACGUUUCAAAUAGAAAAGGAGACCAAUCCAAAACAGAAGAUUUACGAAAUAAA